CUAGUUGUAGCUUAUAAAUUAAAGUAUUGAAUUUGUAAUUCAUUGAAGGUAAAAAUACCCGUCUAGG
rnacentral:tRNA from 1 species